CUGGAUAGGAGACAAGAAGGCAUCUUCUUGUUUUUAAAAGACCUAGCAAUAGGUAUGCUUAGGGAGGAGCUUGCGUCACAUUAGUUAGUUGGUGGGGUAAAGGCCUACCAAGACUAUGAUGUGUAGCCGGGCUGAGAGGUUGAACGGCCACAUUGGGACUGAGACACGGCCCAAACUCCUACGGGAGGCAGCAGUAGGGAAUUUUCGGCAAUGGAGGAAACUCUGACCGAGCAACGCCGCGUGAACGAUGAAGUAUUUCGGUACGUAAAGUUCUUUUAUUAGGGAAGAAUAAAUGAUGGAAAAAUCAUUCUGACGGUACCUAAUGAAUAAGCCCCGGCUAACUAUGUGCCAGCAGCCGCGGUAAUACAUAGGGGGCAAGCGUUAUCCGGAAUUAUUGGGCGUAAAGGGUGCGUAGGCGGUUAAAUAAGUUUAUGGUCUAAGUGCAAUGCUCAACAUUGUGAUGCUAUAAAAACUGUUUAGCUAGAGUAAGAUAGAGGCAAGUGGAAUUCCAUGUGUAGUGGUAAAAUGCGUAAAUAUAUGGAGGAACACCAGUAGCGAAGGCGGCUUGCUGGGUCUUUACUGACGCUGAGGCACGAAAGCGUGGGGAGCAAACAGGAUUAGAUACCCUGGUAGUCCACGCCGUAAACGAUGAGUACUAAACGUUGGGUAAAACCAGUGUUGAAGUUAACACAUUAAGUACUCCGCCUGAGUAGUACGUACGCAAGUAUGAAACUUAAAGGAAUUGACGGGACUCCGCACAAGCGGUGGAUCAUGUUGUUUAAUUCGAAGGUACCCGAAAAACCUCACCAGGUCUUGACAUGCUUCUGCAAAGCUGUAAAAACACAGUGGAGGUUAUCAGUUGCACAGGUGGUGCAUGGUUGUCGUCCAGCUCGUGUCGUGAGAUGUUGGGUUAAGUCCCCGCAACGAGCGCAACCCUUAUUGUUAGUUACCAGCACGUAAUGGUGGGGACUUUAGCAAGACUGCCAGUGAUAAAUUGGAGGAAGGUGGGGACGACGUCAAAUCAUCAUGCCCCUUAUGACCUGGGCUACAAACGUGAUACAAUGGCUGUUACAAAGGGUAGCUGAAGCGCAAGUUUUUGGCGAAUCUCAAAAAAACAGUCUCAGUUCGGAUUGAAGUCUGCAACUCGACUUCAUGAAGUUGGAAUCGCUAGUAAUCGCGAAUCAGCAUGUCGCGGUGAAUACGUUCUCGGGGUUUGUACACACCGCCCGUCA
rnacentral:rRNA from 1 species